AGGGGAGUAGCUGCUACUGGACCUAGCGGCGGACGGGUGAGUAAUGCUUAGGAAUCUGCCUAUUAGUGGGGGACAACAUCUCGAAAGGGAUGCUAAUACCGCAUACGUCCUACGGGAGAAAGCAGGGGAUCUUCGGACCUUGCGCUAAUAGAUGAGCCUAAGUCGGAUUAGCUAGUUGGUGGGGUAAAGGCCUACCAAGGCGACGAUCUGUAGCGGGUCUGAGAGGAUGAUCCGCCACACUGGGACUGAGACACGGCCCAGACUCCUACGGGAGGCAGCAGUGGGGAAUAUUGGACAAUGGGGGGAACCCUGAUCCAGCCAUGCCGCGUGUGUGAAGAAGGCCUUAUGGUUGUAAAGCACUUUAAGCGAGGAGGAGGCUACUUUAGUUAAUACCUAGAGAUAGUGGACGUUACUCGCAGAAUAAGCACCGGCUAACUCUGUGCCAGCAGCCGCGGUAAUACAGAGGGUGCGAGCGUUAAUCGGAUUUACUGGGCGUAAAGCGUGCGUAGGCGGCUUAUUAAGUCGGAUGUGAAAUCCCCGAGCUUAACUUGGGAAUUGCAUUCGAUACUGGUGAGCUAGAGUAUGGGAGAGGAUGGUAGAAUUCCAGGUGUAGCGGUGAAAUGCGUAGAGAUCUGGAGGAAUACCGAUGGCGAAGGCAGCCAUCUGGCCUAAUACUGACGCUGAGGUACGAAAGCAUGGGGAGCAAACAGGAUUAGAUACCCUGGUAGUCCAUGCCGUAAACGAUGUCUACUAGCCGUUGGGGCCUUUGAGGCUUUAGUGGCGCAGCUAACGCGAUAAGUAGACCGCCUGGGGAGUACGGUCGCAAGACUAAAACUCAAAUGAAUUGACGGGGGCCCGCACAAGCGGUGGAGCAUGUGGUUUAAUUCGAUGCAACGCGAAGAACCUUACCUGGCCUUGACAUACUAGAAACUUUCCAGAGAUGGAUUGGUGCCUUCGGGAAUCUAGAUACAGGUGCUGCAUGGCUGUCGUCAGCUCGUGUCGUGAGAUGUUGGGUUAAGUCCCGCAACGAGCGCAACCCUUUUCCUUACUUGCCAGCAUUUCGGAUGGGAACUUUAAGGAUACUGCCAGUGACAAACUGGAGGAAGGCGGGGACGACGUCAAGUCAUCAUGGCCCUUACGGCCAGGGCUACACACGUGCUACAAUGGUCGGUACAAAGGGUUGCUACACAGCGAUGUGAUGCUAAUCUCAAAAAGCCGAUCGUAGUCCGGAUUGGAGUCUGCAACUCGACUCCAUGAAGUCGGAAAUCGCUAGUAACGCGGAUCA
rnacentral:rRNA from 1 species